UGGUUCUGGCAUCGAUGAAGAACGCAGCGAAAUGCGAUAAGUAAUGUGAAUUGCAGAAUUCAGUGAAUCAUCGAAUCUUUGAACGCACAUUGCGCCCGCCAGUAUUCUGGCGGGCAUGCCUGUUCGAGCGUCAUUUCAACCCCUCAGGCCCUGGUGCCUGGCGUCGGGGCGUUCCCUCGCGGGAAGCCCCCAGAGACAGUGGCGGACCGGCCGCGGCUCCGAGCGCAGUAGUAACAUUCUCGCUCUGGACGUCCGCGGCGGGCUCCCGGCCGUAAAACCCAGCCCCCCCGGGCUGAACUCCUCAAGGUUGACCUCGGAUCAGGUAGGACUACCCGCUGA
rnacentral:misc_RNA from 1 species